CGGUACGUACUGGCAUUGUUGGUUUCUCCCUUCUGACGAACCAUGAUGUCAUUUAUUUGGUGUUGUGGGGAAUCAGGACUGUUACUUUGAAAAAAUUAGAGUGUUUAAAGCAGGCUCACGCUUGAAUACAUUAGCAUGGAAUAAUGAAAUAGGACGUUUGAUUCUAUUUUGUUGGUUUCUAGGAUCGACGUAAUGAUUAAUAGGGAUAGUUGGGGGCAUUAGUAUUCAAUUGUCAGAGGUGAAAUUCUUGGAUUUAUAGAAGACUAACUACUGCGAAAGCAUUUGCCAAGGAUGUUUUCAUUAAUCAUGAACGAAAGUUAGGGGAUCGAAGACGAUCAGAUACCGUCGUAGUCUUAACCAUAAACUAUGCCGACUAGGGAUCGGAUGAUGUUAAUUUUUUAAUGACUCAUUCGGCGCCUUACG
rnacentral:rRNA from 1 species